GGAGUGGAGUUUGCGAAAUUGUAAUUUGAUUGAAAACUGCAACGCAGAAGAGAAGCAGUUAAAAUGUGAGCUCAGCUCUUCAAAUUCAUCUUUCCACAGGAAUCUAACUUACACACAUUCCAGAUGAAUUUGUAAUCAAAAUCUGCGAUAUGUUGUGUUUCUUGAGGUUCCUAGUGGCACAAUAUGGAAAGUUAGAUUACAUGACUCUAAUGGCCCCAAAUGCUUCAAAGAAGGAUGGAAACUCUCAUUUCGAUGUCUUAAUAUUUGAUUUAAGUGCUUCCCAGAUCAAUUAUAUAGACAUGAACGUAUAGUGGGCGAUAAAGGUCAUUUGGUUUUACUAUUUGUUCUGCUCCCAUGCUGUUGGUUCAGUCAACAUUCUUUGUUCUUCUCUGUUUUGGCAGGUCAGUGCAACGAAGUCCAUCUGUCAACGAAUUAGCAUAGUAAGAAGAAAACUGAUACCAGUUUGGAUGCACCGUAAGCAACUAAAAGAGGUGAAGACGGAAACAAAAGACCUGGAAGAACACUGCAACAGAAUAGCAGUGGUGGAUCCCUCGGUAACUAAGAGGACGAUCACUAUCCGACAUGAUCAUGAAAAGUUACGUCGUAGGUAUCAACUGCGCAGCAAGCAAUGCAAAGACGUGAAGCUUGAGAAAGGGGAGGAUACUAACAAGGACAAGUUUUAUAAAGGAAAAGGUAUGUAAUGUAAUUCCAUUUUUUAGUAACUAAAACUCUUGUUUACUGCUGUUGUUGAAUUAUAUAAGAGGAUUCCAAGUCAAAUUGGAAUCCACACUUUAUUGUUACUAUGCAGCCUGCUUAACAUUAAUUUGUAAAUAUAUAUAUAUAUAUAUACCUGUUUUAACUUUUUCAAGAAAUUUAUCAAUUGCGAGGAAACCAUUAUAAUCCUAAGAGUUUGUACUGAUGAUGAGACAAGUUGUCAGGUUGGAGGGAGUUUGUGAUGGUCAACAAUAUAAAAGAAGAUGAUACUUGUGACUAUUCUCCCAGCCACAACCACUCAUUGCUGAAAUAUGUACUUUAGCUUUUUGCUUUUUUUGUUCAAUUGGAGUAUCUAUAAUAUAAUAUUAUUGUAGCCUAAAAAUCACCUAUUUUGUAUUUAAGAUAUUUACUUUCAUUGGGCAGCUUGAGUUUUUGUAUUGAUCAAUCGCGUGAUGCAAUGUGUAGCUUUUGUGCCAAACUUUAUAGAGUCCUAAGUUGAAAAAGAUGGUUUUUACAAAUUUCAAAAUGAAAGAAAAAAACAUAAUGUGUUUCAA